CUUGAAGAUGAAAUGUAAAACUGCCUGUGAUCUGCGUAAGAAUCAACUAGGACCACUUUUAUGUACCCAGGGACAGUGGGAAUAGAAAGAGAAAAUCAAAAAGAGUAAUUAGAGUAGGUGGAAUGGGAAAUUGGCUGUGUGGGACAAAGGAUACUCAGACUAGGUAUGGCCUCAGAGCCUGGAGAAGGAAUUCUGUUUUCUCCCUGUAGCAUUUGAAAUAUCAGAGAACUAUCCUAGGAAAGCUAAAUGUACAGCCUAACUCCCUGGAGUCUUUAAAAUAAAAGUGGUAGCUAAGAAAAAAUGGGAGAAUCUAAGUUGGACCUAAAAGGGUACUAUGGGAGAAAAAGAAGAAAACCCUGGGGAACACCCACAUUUAGGGGAAGAGAAGAGCUGGAGGUCCAUCAGUGAUGGUGACGGCAACUAAAAAUAGAGUGGUGUUCUUAACAUAAC
rnacentral:lncRNA from 1 species